GACGAACGCUGGCGGCGUGCUUAACACAUGCAAGUCGAGCGGUAAGGCCCUUUCGGGGGUACACGAGCGGCGAACGGGUGAGUAACACGUGGGUGACCUGCCUCUAGCUCUGGGAUAAGCCUGGGAAGCUGGGUCUAAUACCGGAUAUGACCUCGCGGUGCAUGUUGCGGGGUGGAAAGCCUUGUGCGGCUAGGGAUGGGCCCGCGGCCUAUCAGCUUGUUGGUGGGGUGAUGGCCUACCAAGGCGACGACGGGUAGCCGGCCUGAGGGGGCGACCGGCCACACUGAGACUGAGACACGGCCCAGACUCCUACGGGAGGCAGCAGUGGGGAAUCUUGCGCAAUGGGCGAAAGCCUGACGCAGCGACGCCGCGUGAGGGAUGACGGCCUCGG
rnacentral:rRNA from 1 species